UUUGGAUUAAUACCUCAUAGUAUUUUCGAUACGCAUGAUUUGAUUAUUAAAGUUCCAACGGUAAAAGAUGAGUAUGCGUCCCAUUAGCUAGAUGGUAAGGUAACGGCUUACCAUGGCAAUGAUGGGUAGGGGUCCUGAGAGGAGAUCCCCCCACACUGGUACUGAGACACGGACCAGACUCCUACGGGAGGCAGCAGUGAGGAAUAUUGGACAAUGGGCGCAAGCCUGAUCCAGCCAUGCCGCGUGCAGGAAUAAGGUCCUAUGGAUUGUAAACUGCUUUUAUACAGGAAGAAACACACCCUCGUGAGGGUACUUGACGGUACUGUAUGAAUAAGGACCGGCUAACUCCGUG
rnacentral:rRNA from 1 species